CACGUGGCCUUUGGACUAACGGUCGCUUCCUCGCCCGCAGUCACAGACCUAGGUGGGUCAUUUACGUCCUGGCCCAAUUCCUAGCGAAAACCACAGAACAAGCUGCCUUUGGCUCCCGUGGCUACCGUCAACGGUCUUCAUCGUCGCUUUGGAGGAUUCGUCUUGUAACGGGGUAUUUAGACCACCUCUGUUCUCCAGCGCCAAGCUCAGUUUAGUCCGGCCAAGGGACGGGCUCCUGCUCACACACUUGGCAGUAGGAUGGAGGGGAGGCUGCCUGCAGAGCCUUAGCUGAGCAAAGAGCCUGGAGCCCAUGUGGCCUGCCUGUGUUUUGUGAGCUCUGUCCCUGGAGAGUCCUGACAUGACUGUGCCAAGCAGGAGAAGGGUCCGGGGUCUCCAGAACCCUUAAGGAAAGUCGUUUGCACAGAAGAUAAGCAUUUUCUGUGAGUCGUGAGUACUGGAGGUGAGGGAGACUUGAGGCACAGGCCAAAAGAAAGGUCCCUUGGUUCAGCCGUCAUCUUCCUGCCUGAAGAGAAGAGCCACACCCACUGGAGCCAGGAGAGAGCCACCUCACUCUACAGUGUCCUUGAAGGGGCCACCAGGUGACUGCUCCCUAAAGCCAUAGCCACUCUGCCUCCUUCAUCCAAGGUGCUUCUUCUGACUGAAGUGGUGUGCACAGUGAGGGCCGGCUGAUGCUUUAGGCCGGCUAGAAUGUGAUGUCCCAGCCACGGAGGAGAGCCCAGAGAAGGGGCUUCCCUUGGUCUGCACAUGGCCUCAGCAGGAAGCCUCACCACCACAUCAAACGCUCUCCUGCAGGCUUGCCAGAUCCCUGGCGGGCGUCCAGUGUGCUCCUGGGCCUGUGCCCUUCAGCCCGGGACCCUGUGCUCACUGGCUACUUGUUCACAUGACACUGGGAAAUCUUGCCUUUCCAGAGCCUUCUUGGUGCGGGCUGGUGGGGAGCCAAGUCCCACUCAGAGGUCUGGUGUUGUGUUCCCGCCAGGGAAGGCGGCCUCCAUCCACAGCAGUGGUUGGAAGGGCCCCUGCACACCGCGUGUGACUGUGUUGAGAUUCCUUGCUCAUAGCUAUGAUGUCAUUACCCCCCUCCUCUGGCUCCUGGUCUGUGGUUGGCAUCCUUGCUGCCCUCCCUCGGCUUGGCCCUCCUGUUGGAAAGGCAAGAAGAACAAAGGCUCCUUGACCGUCCUCUCUCUCGCUGUUUGUCUUGACAGCAUUUGGCUGGCCGACCUCACCUGGAAGGCUGUCUUCACAUGGGAGCCACCCUGGUGUCGCUCCCACCCCUCACCCAGGCAGGCCCUAUCUUCUCUUGGGUCUGGAGAGGGUGUGCUUGCACAUUAGAGGGACCCUGGAGCCCACCCUGUGUCGAGGGGGCUGCUGUGAGCCAGAGCCGGGUCUCCCAGAGUCCUUUCCACCAUACCCCACAGAGCCAGAAUCCUCCCCUCCCCUGGCCUGGUGGAUGCCGGGCACAGGGGAACCGAGGCCUGGGGGACUAUGGAGUUGGUUGUGCCCCAGGCAGGGUGGCCCAAGGUUCCUGGAGACUGGGUAUCAGGGUCUGCCACCAAUGGCCCCCUUUGCCCUGCCACUGUGAAUGCAUGGUCCUCAAACCCAAUGCCCCUCCCACUCCUGGAAGGUACUGGGAAGUUCCUAAGAGAUCAGACCUCACCCCUCCUGGGCCUGGCUCACCUGCUCACUGCCUUCUGGGCUUGAGGUGCUUGAGCAUCCUCUGCUUUGUCUAGGUCGUAGUCUCUGGGCUUUGGUUCAUUGUCCUAGGAUGUAAGUUCAAAGCACUGCUUAGUAAUUCUUUUCUUCUGGGAGCUAGCAAGAAAGGGGGAAGCAUUUUCAUAACUGGUUCUCUAGGCAGGUGCAGUGAAGGAGCCUAUAAAUGGGUAGGUGUGGAAUGCCAGGAAGCCUCGGUACCCAACCCUUUCAGGUGGCAGUGGUCAAGCCAGGUCCUGGGGACAGCUGUGGUGGAGGCCUUGCAGGCUGUGACCAGAGGGUGAGUCCUGGAGCAGCUGAGCCUGGGUCUCCCAGCAGCCCGGGGACCUCAGUUAGCACAGGAAUGGUAACUGGCAUGGGGAACUGGCCUUGCUCAGGAUCCACUGAGGAUCCCGGAGAGCCUGGCCAGGGUGAGGGCCACGGUGGUGGGGCACGCUGCCAUUUCACAAGCUGGUCUGGAGGCAGUAGUUUCCGGGAUGCUGAUGGAGAGUAUCCCUGCAAGCAAACAGGGACUCCAGAGGCUGACCUCGGGUCCUGGCUCCCUGGACCACAGUGGCAGGACCACAUCUGAGUGCCAGGACUUUAAGCAGCCCCUGAAAUACCUGGUUGGACUCAUUUCUGAUCCCCACUCCCUGUCAGGGUGAAGAGCCUGAUGCCCCACUGUCCAUUUGGUUUAAAAUCCAAUGCCCCUUCCUGUUUCCUUUGAUGGAGACACAGGCAAACCCUGGGCUGUUUUCCUAGUCUGCUGAGUGCUAACUCAAGCAAGGAGAUUCUAAACCAGGAUGAGAGAAGCUGGUGUCGGGGAUGGGCGUGCCUCCCAUAUUGCCUUUGUCCGGAUUGCCUUGGCAUCUUGGCAUUUAUGACCUUGGUACGACCUUCAUCUUGCUGGUGACAGCACUGGUCCUUGGGGACUCCUGGAGUUUCAUCCCCUUCCUGUGGGGCAGACAACCAUGUGCUCAUGGGCACUUGGUUUUGUGGUCCUUGGGUAGCUGUGUUCCUUGCAUUAACCACAGCCAAGCCCUGUCCGUGGUUCUGGCCUGUACCGGCCUGUACUCCUGAGUCACAUCAUUCCUCCACAGAGAGAGCUCUGUUCUGGGAUGCCCUUGGGCCUGGGUCUCCUGUUUCCCUUCCUCUUAGUCAGUGGUGAGGUUGCUGAGGCAAAGGCCAGCAUGGGUUUCCUCCCAGGAUACUUCGUGCUUUCCUUGUAGGAUGUCUCAGGCUUCUUGGGCUCUGUGACGUCUCCUGUGGUCCCUCUCUGUGGUUGCUGAUGGAGUCUUCCUCUUCUUUUUUUUUGUUUUUUUUUUCACUCUUUUCCACCUCAGGUCUUUUGAGCACAUUUGGGACACAUGAGGGUAGCACUGUCACGUGCUGGCCCAGACUGUUCAGCUCUUUAGACAGUGUGACUCCUGAAGGCUUUCUGGGCAGCUCUUCACAGGGCUCAGCCACGCUCCAGGGAUGAGGGAGCAGCAGCACCUUCACCACCAGCCCUUCGGUCCCGAGGCCUCUGGAGAGUGAUGCCCUUGGGGCCCCACCUCUCUGUUUCAUAUUGAGAUAUCGUAGAACCUUGGUGCUUUCUCUCACGUAAUAUUUUUAAUUUCAGAUUUAUGUAUCCACACAUCUGCAAUGCAUUUUCUAGUUUGUCAUACACAUAUGUCUCCCUUUUGUAUAAUUUAAUGCAUAUGAAAAAUAUAGUGUCCCUGCUGGUUUUGUGGAUCACACUUGUAAUCUGGAUGUGCAGAAGGCUGUGUUGGAGGAAGAUAUCUGUGAGGUUAAGACCAGUGUGUGCUUCUGUUUGAGUCUCUUUUUAAUGUAUGAGUCUUGUUUGUUUGUUUAACAAAGCUAAAAGAUACCUGUGUUCUGUGAGAAUGAUUAUUCUCAAAAAGAGUUGUCAUUGAACAUUUAAAAUUCCUUCAUCAUCAAGGAAUAUAACUAUUUUCAUUGUCAAACACCAUGAUUAAAAGUCUGACAAGAUGGAUAUUGUUUCAUUCACAGGAAAUACUGAGCAUUCUGUAAGUGUCCUAAGAGUUUCUUCUUUGUUUCCAAGUCUGGCUAAGAAGAUAUUCUCAGAAUAACCCAAAUAUAAUUAGCGGCUGGAGAGAUGGCCACAGGUUAAGAGCAAGGUUGCUCUUGUCGGGGGCCUGGUUAUCUAGCGCCCACAUUGAGCUUGUCAACUAUCUGGGAGUCCAGUCUAGGGGAACUGCCCACCCUUGGCAUCAAGUUCAUGGCAUACAUGUAGGUAAAAUGCUGAUACACAAAAAAUAAAUCUUUUUAAAAAUAAAAUUAUUUAUAUAAAAA